ACGGGUGCGUAACGCGUGGGAAUCUGCCCCUUGGUUCGGAAUAACGGUUGGAAACGACUGCUAAUACCGGAUGACUACGUACGUCCAAAGAUUUAUCACCGAGGGAUGAGCCCGCGUAUGAGUAGGUAGUUGGUGUGGUAAACGCGCACCAAACCAACCAUCCUUAGCUGGUCUGAAAGGAUGAUCACCCACACUGGGACUGACACACGGCCCACACUCCUACGGGAGGCAUCAGUGGGGAAUAUUGGACAAUGGGCGAAAGCCUGAUCCAUCACUGCCGCGUGAGUGAUGAAUGCCUUAUGGUUGUAAAGCUCUUUUACCCGGGAUGAUAAUGACCGUACCGGGAGAAUAACCUCCAGCUAACUCCCUGCCACCACCCUCGGUAAUACGGAGGGAGCUAGCGUUAUUCUUAAUUACUGGGCGUAAAGCGCACGUAGGCUGCUUUGUAAGUAAUAAGUGAAAGCACAUAGCUCAACUCUGGAAUUGCCUUUUAGACUGCAUCGCUUGAAUCAUGGAUAGGUCAAUGUAAUUCCGAGUGUAUAGGUGAAAUUCAUAUA
rnacentral:rRNA from 1 species